CCUUGAUUGCCCUCUGGAGGGCGCGGAGUGGAUACAUCAAAUCAAAGGAAGCAAGUAUUUUGAGCAAGAACUGUGCAGAGAACUGUAAUUCUCUUGCACCAAAUGUAUUCUCACCGUAGAUGUUGUUUCCAUUUAACAAGCAGAUCCAAAACUGAAGAGGACCCCAUAUUCACAUCAACAGUUUUACUACAAUUACCACCAAAGGACAGGACCAUACUAGAGUUUCAUGGAUCCCACCAAAGAGUGAAUGCAACAAAGGGACCAGGAAACCUCACAAGAAAGAACAGAAGACCUAGCUUCAGAUGCUGACACUCUGAGAAUAGCCAUAGCCUGUGAUUGGAAGGGAUCUGUGGAAAAAGAAGAAGAUAAGUGCAUACCAGAGAGUCCCCCAAAGUCCUAGCAGAAGCCACACAGGAUCAUCUCCUCAGCAAGAAGGAUCCAGGACUGCCUCAUGCCCUUAGCUUUCCUGUCUCCCAUUCCUCUUCAAUUCAGAUGCAGACUCUGCAGUGAGCCUUUCUAGAACUAUAAGUGACCAAAGAAUGUCCUUAUUACCCAGGAUUAAGGAAACUAAAAAGAAAAAUCUCAAGGAUCUUAAAGAUUCAAUAAGGCUGCAAAUUGAGGGCCUGUGCUUUCCAACUAUGAAUAUUCUGCCCCCCCAACUUCCAUCCUCAGGAAAGGAGUACUAUUAAGUGGGCAGCAUAUCUCUAGACGUCAAACACAUGUGAAUGGUUUGCAUUCUAAUCUAGCCCACCAAAUGGAUAACCUGACAGAGAGCAAGAAUAAACAUCCGAGAUAUCCUUCUUGAGGGCAACCCCAAGCACACACAAAUGCACUCAGAUCCAGACCAUAACUCUUACUCUGAGUGUCACACACCCCUAUGAAUGAGUGCUUCUUUCUGGCUAAUAAAUGUCUUCAGCCUCUCACUGAUGUACCUUGAAGAUUCUUUUUCUGUAAUGGAAGUCAGCAAGGUUGCAACAAACCCCAUGGUGGAGUGACUUGAGGUACUCAUCUCCACAUCAGGGGAUCCCUUUGGAGCCUGUCCACGAUGUUGUCCACUGAUUGCUUGUCUGGGAUCUGUUUCACAUGGCCACUCAAAGCCCCAGGACAGCAGGAGCCUCACCUCUCUGUUCAUAGCUGGGUCCCAGGCUGGCUCCCUGCUCUGCCUAGACACUGUCAGUACAAGGUGGAGAGAGCCAAUGCUCUCCACCACAGACAUGGUAAAGGAGAUACAGGUUGUCACUGCUAGAAGUCCCUCAUGUGGGGUUUGAAGGACCCUGGUUAGCAAGACAGACUCCAUAUUGCUGCUUGACCCACCUGCC